AUGUCCCAGUAUGUCUUGUUGUGCAAUUCAUAUUUAAACUAGCUUCCCAUUGACCUAAUUUCUUUUUUACUUUUAGGGCAACUUUGAAGUGGUGAGAAAGCUGCCCUACUAGAUCCCACUACAACAAGGAUAUUUGAACAGUUAUCUAAUUUCACUAUUGAGGUGGUGGGAGGAUGAACUGGGAUGAAACAGUUCAUGUGGACUUUCACUUAUAGAUCUUGAUUUUGUGAUCAAUAGGAGUAUUGAUCUAGUGGAGCUAGACUGUUCUCAAUGGUGGCAGAUGACAAAACAAGGAACAAUGGUUUCAAAUUGCAGCAAGGUUGGUCGGGACUCACUCUCCGAAACAUCUUUGCUGCAGCCAUUUAUCAUGCACAGCAGAGAAAACAAGGUCCUCAGGGCAGGAUCUGCGUAGAAGGCGGACAGCUUUACAACACGCUUUUAAUCUAGGCUAAUGGAAUCUAGCAAGUAUGAACGGGUGCACUUUCUAAUAUUAAAUAGAAAUGUUAAAAGAACAAAAUAAAUAACGGAAUAUGGCCCAUUUCAAUGUGCCUGUAAGUAAUCCUGGCUUGGAAUUUGCACAUCCUGGAUGAGAUCAAAAGAACAAAAGACCUCUCUGCUCAGCAUAAACAUUAAAACCCUGGAGCAUUUUUCAUGAGAAAGUGUUUGGCACAGAGUGGUGAUUACUAUUUGGUUGCUGUCCUCUACCGCAGAUUUUGUUGCCAUUUACUGGCACCAUGUGCAGUUUGUAUAAAGCAAGGACAAAGCUCCAGCUGACUUCAAUGGAAUCCUGCUGACUUCUACAGAAUCAAGACCAUGUUAUGAAUUUCACUACUUCAGAACAACAACAGAGUCCUGAGACCCACUUAGGUCAAGUAUCCUGAACAGUCACAGGUAAAUUUGCAGCAGGGGGAACCUUUCUUCCUAGGUCAUGGGGAGAAAGGAAUGAUUCUCAAGGUAUAUUGAUGUCUAGUGUCCUUAGUCUCAACCUGCAAAUGCCCUACCUUUAGCUGUACUCUACAAUUAGACAUAUGGCAUGUGUUGUAGAGCAUGCAUUGUACAGAAGAUUCCCCAUGCAUCCAUCUUCCCCAAUACCGUGGAGGCAUAUUUCUGCUGACAGGGAGAAAAAAAAUGUGCAGAGCUGAUGAGGAGUCUUCUUUUUUCUUUUUAAUCUUUUUUUGUGAAAUUCAGAUUAUUCUGUAAUUUUACCUUGGUAUUACAAGUUUUCAACAUAAGGCAAAUUAUGUUUACAAGUCAUAUAUAAAAAUGUUGACUGCUGUGUUACACAGCUAGUAAAAUGUUUAAGAAUGCUUCUUCUGGUUUUACAGCUUUUUGAUACUGUAUUAUUAUGGAGAAUACUUAAAUACAAAUAUGAAUGGUCACCAUG